ACCGAUACUCUCCGGAGAAGGAUGAGAAGCUUCGACCGAAGGUUCGGGUCGAACACCGUGAGACAACGCGCGAACGCGCGGCCCGCAGGGUGAGCCGCCUGCGGCGAAUCAUCCUUCUCCCGCCACCA
rnacentral:sRNA from 1 species